AUGUCCACCACGGUGUCCCCAAAAGUCCCCUCCGCCAGCUCCUCAGCGGACCAGCGGACAGUCGUCGUGGGUGCGUUUUGUUGUCUGGUGUUUUUCUUCAUGAUUGUGGUGCUGCUGUUGAUCCUGUACCGGAAGGUUCCUCUCUGCUGCAAAAUGAGGGUUUAUCAGGAAUCUCGUACUGACGUGGAAUCUCCUCCUCAGUACUACAACAGCAGACAGACUCUAGUAGCUUCAUCUGAUGCGGAGCAAACACAUGACACCGGUCUUGAUAAUGUGAAUGCACGGUCGGGCUCGUUGUUCCUCAUUGGUGUGCCGAGCAGCUACUACCUUUCCUCACUGGAGCCUCCUCUUCCUCGUCUGCCCUCGUAUGAGAGCGUCCGCAAGAAAGACCGACAGCGGCAGAUCCACAUGAUGAUAGCCGACCGCUUCGGCCUGAACGGAUCUGUCGAGACUGAGCCGCCUCCCACAUAUGAGGAGAGCAUUCGUGAGUCCGUCCAGUCCAUUGACGUCCCGUUUGACAUCCUGGCACCCGAGGAGGUGCCGCCACACGCACCGGUCACAGUCUCUGAGGCCGACGUGGAUUUACCUGCAUAUGAAGAUCUACCUCAAAUCACAGACUCACAAGAUCCCAAUAACACUGUUAAUUAAAGCACAAGAACGCAAUCCUUCCUCAGCAGGAAAUCAGCAGCUGUUGAGCUGUGACUACCCUGACAGCUGAUUGCUCACCCUGACGAGCAGCCGACGUGUGCGUGAAUCCGCUGUGCUUGCAAAAGACACCAAAAUAGGGAAGGACUUGACCUAUGCAAUAACUUGCACAAGCACAAUACGAGAGGAGGAGGAUGUUGCAUCACUACUCAAAAAAGGGAAGAGAAGAACAAGAAUAUGCAAGAGUUUUAGUUCUGUCUCUGUUCAAAAUGACAUGAAACUGCUACUACGUAUGUAGAAUUAUGCUGACUGUAGAUAUUUCCAUGACUUUUCCAAGCCUAAAAAAUGUAAACAUUACAUCACAUUCCAUGAUAUUAUUACAUUUAUACAUAAGUGGGGAAUGUUGAUUUCAUUUUGAUUAUAAAAACCGAUGUAAGCUAUGAAAACAAAUGUUUUUUUGUUUUUUUUGGGAAUAACAUCCAUUUAUGAAUGGUUCAAAAUAAUACUAGUGACAUUUAUUAACCAUAAAUAAAGUCUAUUUGGAUUCCA
ensembl:lncRNA